UACGAAGGGGGCUAGCGUUGUUCGGAUUUACUGGGCGUAAAGCGCACGUAGGCGGAUCGUUAAGUCGGGGGUGAAAUCCUGGAGCUCAACUCCAGAACUGCCUUCGAUACUGGCGAUCUUGAGUCCGGAAGAGGUGAGUGGAACUCCUAGUGUAGAGGUGGAAUUCGUAGAUAUUCGGAAGAACACCAGUGGCGAAGGCGACUCGCUGGACAGGUAUUGACGCUGAGGUGCGAAAGCGUGGGGAGCAAACAGG
rnacentral:rRNA from 1 species